rnacentral:lncRNA from 1 species
UCGGCGGUACACUAGCUAGCAGGUAGCGCUACCACGAGGCGGCGGCGGCGGCGGCGGAGGAGGAGGAGCUCCCACCGAAUCUGCCCCGGGUGGUCCGCGCCACCUGCCGCUCCCAGGCGGCCGUAUCGAGGAGGAUCGAUUUCGGUUCGGGGGUUAAGCGACAGCGGCAGCGGCGGCGGGAUCAUGUUCAAGCUCCACCGCCACCGCUCCUCGGACCGGAGCGUCGGCGAGCGCUUCGAGUUCAGGUUCUCCAGCUUCCGCACCGUCAUGGU